rnacentral:misc_RNA from 1 species
AACGCAUAUGGCACCCGAGACCUCGGUCGAGGGUAUGUCUGCCUCAGAGUCGGCGUGAAAACAUCCCCGAGGGUAGCGUACCGCGUUACCGGAGGGGGAGCUGGCUUUCCCAGGGGCGGGAAUUUCUCGCCCGUUGGGUCUGCCGAAGGGGAGAGACGGAGGACCGGGUCGGCCAACCGGGCAGCCACGAUUUGGUGGGAGGGUACCUCGUAUCCGCAUCAUCGUCGUGCGCCCCCCUACGUACCCGCGUCGCACCGCCCGGCAGGAAAAAAAAAAAAACUUCCGACCUGAGUUCAGGCAAGACCACCCGCUGAACUUAA